UGUCGUACAAGGUAGCCGUAGGGGAACCUGCGGCUGGAUCACCUCCUUUCUAAGGAUGGUUCUUCAGAAGCUUGCUUCUAUCGAACCGUUUUAGAAACAUCAGUGGCCAACAGAUCGCCAGAUCGUUGAGCUGCAUUGGCGGGAUUUCGCCGUCUUCGUUUCUCUUUCUUCGCGGACGAACACGCGCUGGGCCUGCAUCGAGCAGGAUCCCACGGUCCCUGACGGGAUAUGCGUUAGGGGCUUGUAGCUCAGUUGGUUAGAGCGCGCGCUUGAUAAGCGUGAGGUCGGAAGUUCAAGUCUUCCCAGGCCCACCACUUUCAGUGAGCAUUCGUCUUCUGGUUACGGGGCCAUAGCUCAGCUGGGAGAGCGCGUGCUUUGCAAGCAUGAGGUCGUCGGUUCGAUCCCGUCUGGCUCCACCAGAUGGUUUGAUCACCGAGAUCUUGUACCGUCGUCCGCGAAACAUCACUUCGCAUCCUGCUAGUCUGGAUAGACAGCAAGAUGCGUGUUUUCUGACAUCGUAAAGAGGAGAUCGAUCCGAGUUGGGUCGUGCAGCAGAUUGUUGCGCGGAUCCUUCAUUAUCUCCGGAUCAUUUUCGGCGCUCGCCUUCAGCCGUGAGGUUGAAUGCGAGUUGUAAAAUGAUCCUUUUAGCGAAGCUUGACCGCCUCGCUAUCGGAACGAUCUUACGAAGCAAGCUGGUCUUUCUAGUCAAUGUCCGGCUGCAGAUAGCGUUCAUCGAGGGCGCGUGCCUUAGAGACUUCGGUUUCUCGGCAAUUCUGCAGACAACAUUCUGCCGAGUGUGUGGACAUUGAUAAUGAGAGCAAUCAAGUGCCUUAAGGGUGUUCGGUGGAUGCCUUGGGC
rnacentral:misc_RNA from 1 species